rnacentral:rRNA from 1 species
CAGUCGCCGCGGUAAUACGAAGGUCCCAAGCGUUGUUCGGAAUCACUGGGCGUAAAGGGAGCGUAGGCGGCGUGGUAAGUCAGAUGUGAAAUCCCGGGGCUCAAUCCCGGAACUGCAUCCGAUACUGCCAAGCUUGAGGGUUGGAGAGGUAGCUGGAAUUCUUGGUGUAGCAGUGAAAUGCGUGGAUAUCAAGAGGAACACUCGUGGCGAAGGCGAGCUACUGGACAACAUCUGACGCUGAGGCUCGAAGGCCAGGGUAGCGAAAGGGAUUAGAUACCCCCGUAGUCCCUGUCUCUUAUAC